AAGCAAAGGAACUCUAAUAACAAGAUCCUUUCAUGAGAGAAGGUGAAAUCAACUAUAGUUCUUUGCCUUCAAACAAACAGAAGACAACCUGGAUCAUGGUAGAAACUGAUGUUACUACAACAGUGGUUGGGAAGAUACGCUCAAG